ACAGCUCAGCCACCUGGCGAGGCACCCUGGCACCAGGCCAGACCAUUUCACCACACAGCUGAGCAGUGGCGGAUGCUUUGGUUCUUGGGCAACAGCAAAUGGAGAAAACAAAACAAAACAGCACCUACUAGAUAAGAAGCCUUAGGUGCUAUCUUCCAGAGCCACUUGGCCCUGUCUCCCAACUGCUACACUUGUUAUGGCUCCAGGGAGAGGGGCUAAGAGAGGAGAGGCCCAGCAGUCAGGUGGUGUCAACGGAGCCAACUGCACACACGGCAGAUAACGCCUUUGGUAAGUAGGUAUGAGUGCCCACUGAGCAUCAACGCGCUGAUAGUCUCUGCUGAUGGGAGAGGAGUAAGACAAGAAGCUACUGGCAGGGGAGUAGAGGGGAGAGCUGAUGCCACUGCUCCAUCAAUGCCAGCUAUCUGACACCAGGCACACUGGCAGGGGAUACCCACACCCACCCCCAGCAAAGGUGCUUUCAGAAGGGCCACCAGUUCGUCUCUGCCUCCCCCUAAGACCUCUCCUUUGAAAUCAACUCAAGCCUAACCCUGGCAUAGGAACUCGAAGGAGAGGUGAGAGUCCUCAGGAUGAAGACUAUAGAUAAUGUAGGGCGUGAGACAUCUCUGGUUCUUCUCAGCUUGGCCAGGGGAGAGAGCAAUCAGCUCAGACCCAAGCCUUCGGGUUGGGCACCUGGAGGGACAAGUUCAUCGUUUCGCUGUCUUGCAGGCCAGGUAGGAGGGAGGAACCUGGGAUGGGAAGAUGCUCUUAAUCCCACCGACAGCAUGUGCCUAGCCUUCCUAGUACAUCUCCAAAAUGGAGACAUAAUUUUACACCCAGCAAAAAACUCAACAACUAGCUGGUUCAACAAACAAGGCAUGAGUCACUUUCUCAUGCCAUCAGACUUUGAAGCCUUCUCCCAUCCCCUCUUUUAAAGAGAAAAUAGCCCUCAUGACAAAUAUGCUAUAGGAAAUAAGAACAUCCAGCUGAGGGAACACAAAGCCAAAAGCUAUGCAUGCUCACCGCGAAGCAGCACAGCGCUACAAGGAUCCUGGUUUCUCUCCAUGCUCAUAGGCACGCGUCUGUUUCCUUUUGUUCAGUAACCAAUGAGCUUCACACAGGGAUGAGAUGCAGGCAAAGCCAGGGCAGUGUGGAGGGACCCUGAGGGACCCUGGGGGCUCCUACCCUGCCUUGUCCACUUGGGGUGUCCACCUGGAGAACAAAAUACAACAUUUUCCCCCAAGAACUGAUUCGCAGGACGGAGGGGAAGUUCCUGCAAACAGCCUCACAGGGAUUGUCUUUCUAUUUUUGGACGUGUGCUGGGAUUGAACAGUGUAGAUGGCCUCAUGAGCUCCCUGUGGUUUGGGGCCACUUCACUGCUUAACUCGGGACAUGUGGGUUUUGGAAGAGAAGCUGUGGUGAAACCGAAACCCCCAAUAUGACUAUCCGGGGGUUACAGACCUCCAUGGAGAGCCCACAGAGACCCCAUCUAUAUGUCUAUUGGGGGGGUUACGGACCUUCAUGGAGGGCCCACGGAGUCCCCAUCUAUCCCAGCUGUUACUUUGGAAAUGGAGUGAGAGGGCUUUCUCUGUUCUGUUGUCUAGCACUGAAACUCAAGGAAGCACUCUAUCGAUGAGCUAUAACCCCAGUCCUGACUAACAUUUCUUUCAACACUAAGCCACAGCUAACUUAAACCUUCACAGGGAGAAGAAACUCAAAAGAACUAGACUGGAAGGGGCGGGGGGAAGUUCCAUCAUGCUAUCCCUUCCAAAGAGACUUUACCCAGAAAAGAGCAACGGGAUUUGUGUACACUCUAAGAACUGCUCAGCCAAACCCUCCAUCAAUCACUUGACUCCAUAUUUAAACGUACAACUCAAGAGAACCAGGGAAACCAUUUCUGGCUUCAUGUCUGACUUCCCUAAAUGUAGAUCACGUCCGCAGGCAGCUGGAAGAAUGGGUCAAGAGAGAAGCCUUUUUAGAGAUGUCACUGUGGGAAAAGAAUAUAAAGAAUCCACUAACUGUAUCUUCCAGGAGGCAAAGGGUAGCCCUGCAGUGUGUGCACAGGCAUCAAAAAAAAGCGGGCUGUGGGCCUCUGACAUUUGUUCAGCUCUCAAGAAACUACAGUUAGAAGAAAAGGAAGUAGGGUGAACUUUUCACCCUUUAACUUGAUUCUCUGAAGAGGAGUUUCUGUAGGAUCGGAGCAUUCAAGACAAAACAAGUCGCCAGCAGUUACUGAUGGAAGCUGCUUUCCUUGAGGAUCUAAUGGAGCCGCUGUAAGAGGAGCCCACACAGUAGCCUAACCUCCCAUAAAACAAUCCUCACCUCGUGACUGUUUGAAAGUAACAGGUGCCUUAGGGACAUACAAACUCAAAGGACGAACAGACAUCUUUUUCCUUGCUUCCGUUCUCAUGGUAAUCUGAUUUCUAUUCAACAGAGAAGAAAUCAUGGCAUCCAGUCAGCUCUUAAGUUAGCUUGUAAGGUAAGUGGGGAGAAGGAGAACCAGAUUAGGGCGGUUCAUCUAGAAUGAGUUUUGCAAGAGGACAACUGUGAAACUGUUGUACCGUGGUUUCUGUUCUGAUUCUGUGCACCCCACGUGCUCACGCAUCCAUUCCGAUGUGCGGCAGAAUCUCUGAGACUUUUAUCACCUCAUGCUGAAGGUGAACUCAUCUCUCCAAGAUUAGAGUGCAAAGUGAAACCUUUCAUUCCCCGAAUAGAAGAUUUUUCAAGGACAUUUCCCACACUUGUAUUUUAGUAAGACUCAACUGUUCCAUGGCUUCCUGGCUGCCGUGGCUCAGGAAACAAUGAGAACCGAAAGGUCCCUUCCCUUGCUAGGAACUAGACGAUCCUACUUGGGACUCAGGAACGUUGCUUUUAGUCUCUGGGCAUGUUGGAUUGAUUGGUCAAGGAAAGAUGAAAAUAAUUUAGAAGUAAGACAAGUUCUAGUGAGGAAGGUUAAACCAAGUAAAAGGGAAAUAAGAUUACAGAUCACUGCCAGGGCCAGGAAGUGGGAGUGGGUGGGUUGGGGAGCAGGGCGGGGGAAGGGUAUAGGGGGCUUUGGGGAUAGCAUUUGAAAUGUAAAUGAAGAAAAUAUCUAAUUAAAAAUGCCUUAAAAAUAAAAAAAAUUACAGAUUACUAUCAAUCAAGUAAUUUCCUCAAUCAAAAUAAAUUCUACUUUAUGAAUAAACCAUUAGUAAUUUUAACUCUAUCCCGUCUGCUUUCUUCCUGACUUUCAGCAAACUUCUAGGCAACAUAUGCUUAAGCAACCGGUAUGCAAUUCAAUAUCAGCCAAGUUACACAAAAUGCUUAUGAAUGUUGACAAAAUAUGACAGCCCUGUUCUGUCACCUUCCCCGCCCAAAGGAAACCGUUUGUGUCAUUCCUCCUGUUGACUUUGUCACGUCAACAUUCUUGUCAAGUCACAUUAAUUCAGAACUGUCUUUAUCAAACUAUCAAUGGAAUAUCUCAAUCAUGAAGAAUCAACAGAUGCCGAGACUUCCUGGGCCAACGGUUACGGGGAAGGGGUAUUUAUAGUUACGCAACGCCAAACUAUCACCACACAAACCACUUAAGAGGAGAAGACUGUGCCUUCAGUGAGGGAUCUGGUGGUGACCACCUAAAGUGACCAAAUUUAGCAUGAGGAGGAUGGAGGCCCAGCUCAGUGACACCGUGUUUGUGUAUGAAGCCCUUCUGCUCAAUCCCUGUCCAUCUUCAGAGACAGCAUUAUCGCUUAGGAACAACCUGCUACGACAAACUUGCUAAAGUGACCUGUACAAAGACACACCUUUACCCAUGGGAGGCUUAUUUUUGUUUUGAGAUGGCAUCUCACUAUGUUGCCCUGGCUAGUCUUGAACUUACAGAUACACCUGCCCUUGUCUUCUGAGGAAACAGGAAUAGAGCUAACAGGGUCUAGAAGAGAGCUCCAAAAUGACUUUUUGUGUGUGUGUGUGUUUUUUUCGAGACAGAGUCUUUUUGUGUAGCCUAGCUGUCCUGAAACUCACUCAGUAGAGCAGGCUGGCCUCGAACUCAGAGAUGUGCAUUUCUCUGUACUGCCACCACCUGGCCUAAAAUGACUUUUGAAAAAUGUAUUAUGGGGAAAGAGUUGUGAGAGAUCAAAUGCAUUAUUUAUAUGUAUGAACUUC
rnacentral:lncRNA from 1 species